UUGUGAAUAGUGAUGAUCCGUCAUGUUGCAAACAACUACAUACAUACAUAUGAAAUUUUUUUGAAUAAUAAUAUACUACUAUUAAUUUUCAAUAUAUUUCGUCGACAUACUUCUUAAUCAUACGGAACAAGUGAAGUUGAUAUGCGAAAGAAACCAUUGUUAAAGUGAAUACUACUAUUCUUAUCGUGUUGAAUUGUCUUUGAUUCAUACGAGAUCCGACAAAGCUCAGUUCAAAAGAUAUUUCUUGAUUUCAGCCCUUAAAAUCUUCAUUUGGACGUCAAGACAGCUGACAGACAGAUUAUUUCCAUUCUGCUUGGAAUGUUGGUUGUUACAACGUAUGGUAAAAAUAUGAAUAGGGAUUACGAUGUCUGGAUUCAAGAAUAUUUGAAAAGGUGAAGAACACUCACUUCGUGUUCCCCAAAGAAUUUGGUUUAUCUAAUCAAAUCACAUAUUCGAAAGCCUUUUAUUGAUCGAGGUACACCUUCUAUUGGAGCAAUUUCAUACUGAAGCCUCAAAAUUGCAAGAUUCGCACAAAAAAUGUCAAUCGAAAACAUUCGAUAGAAGCCACCGCCCCUCCCGAACAUGGAACAAUCCAAAAUUUCUGUGAUUUCUAUGUCUAAUGUCAAAAUGGAAAUUAAUUCAUUCGAGUGCGUUCUGGAAGUUGACUUUGAUUCCCGUUUUCGAACAUACAGGGAGGAGGAAAAAUCAAGAUAUUUUUGCAAGAUCGACGAUUCGCUGUGAAAGGAGAAAUGAUCGAUCGGCUGAAGAGCAUUUAUGGUUGAUAUUGGGAGAUUCGACAUUUUUGGAGAAUUCGACGAGUUUUGAAGUGGAUUUGAGGGUUGGUUUCAUGGAAUUGUUGUAAUCUAUAUAGCGAUGAUGAUGAGUAUCAACAAUCCAUAUACGAAUUGGGCAACUUUUACUGCCUCGUGUCAGCAGAAAAAUGGAACUGCAUGGGAGUCGUCAAUCGAUAAAGAGAAUAUUGAAAUUGAAGAAUACUGAACAGAGGGCGGCCAAAUAAGAGUAUGAAAGGAAUUGAAGACAAAAUCCACCAAAUGAAGAAAUGUAAAGAAUUCUCAAAGAUUACUUUUUAUACGUACAUGAUCUGAAUGAAGAAGAUCACAAAGAAGCUAUGGUUGAAGCGACGCAAAAAAAUCAAUCAGAUUAAUGGAUGAUGUGUGUGUUUUCGAACGACCACAGUAUGUUGGCAAAUAAAUUUUCCAAACUAUUUGCCAUUCAUUUUGGCUCUUUUGUGAUAUUAUCAAGACUUGAUAAACAAGGAAAGACAUCGUAAAUAAUAUAAAAAUAUUUCAUAUUUCAUGUCAUAAUUGAAUUUCUCAGAAAUAAAAAUAUUCUCAAUGGAAAUGAUUUCUCCUAAUCAAGAGUCUUUGAGAAUCUUAGGUGGAAGUUUUUCUAGCCAAAAUUGAUGUCAGAAUGAGAUGGA